rnacentral:rRNA from 1 species
CCUACGGGUGGCAGCAGUGGGGAAUAUUGGACAAUGGGGGCAACCCUGAUCCAGCCAUGCCGCGUGUGUGAAGAAGGCCCUCGGGUUGUAAAGCACUUUCAGUGAGGAAGAACGCCUGGUGGUUAAUACCCAUCAGGAAAGACAUCACUCACAGAAGAAGCACCGGCUAACUCCGUGCCAGCAGCCGCGGUAAUACGGAGGGUGCGAGCGUUAAUCGGAAUUACUGGGCGUAAAGCGCGCGUAGGUGGCUUGAUAAGCCGGUUGUGAAAGCCCCGGGCUCAACCUGGGAACGGCAUCCGGAACUGUCAAGCUAGAGUGCAGGAGAGGAAGGUAGAAUUCCCGGUGUAGCGGUGAAAUGCGUAGAGAUCGGGAGGAAUACCAGUGGCGAAGGCGGCCUUCUGGACUGACACUGACACUGAGGUGCGAAAGCGUGGGUAGCAAACAGGAUUAGAUACCCGUUUAGUC